GCUUAUCUAAUUUCGUUAUAAAACUUACACAACAUACGAUAUUUUGCAAUAUUACUUUUUUUUUUUUUUUCUCAAGUUGAAGUUACAUGCUAUGUGACGUUUUACAUACACGUAGGUAACUAUAAUAUGUUUUAACUUUAUGAUUAUAGCAAACGACAGGUACAUGACACAAUCUUUAUAUAUACUAUUUAUAAGUUAGUUCUAUUUACUUCUGAAAGAAAAAGAAAAAUCUGUUCAUAAUUAUAUAAUUCUUUCUCAGUUUGGGAAUAUAUAAUUUAUCGUCUAUUUUAAUAGCUACAUAGCAAUACUACAUACAAGUUUAAUGUCACGUUUGUGCAUGUCUAUCUACUCCAAUUGUUUUUUAUUUUUUCUGGAAUAGGUCGUGUUUACUGUAUAGUAUUAGAUGGUCAUUACAUGAGUCAUCUUGGUCAUGAGAAUAACAAUAUCUAUAACAAAACAAGACAAACAUUAAAGACUACAAUAUCUAUUUGUAAAGAGAGAGAGUUGAAUAUUCAAAAGUGAACCAACGCCAAUCAUCUGGUUGAUUCGGCCUUUGAAUGUAGGC
rnacentral:lncRNA from 1 species